CGGCGGCUAGCGAGGGCGUCAGGUCCUUGGCGGCGCUGGAGAUGUCGCGCCAGCCCUGCCGGAUCUGGUCGACCGCGGUACCGCUGCCGCCACCGCCGG
rnacentral:tRNA from 1 species